GAUGAAGAACGUAGCGAAAUGCGAUAAGUAAUGUGAAUUGCAGAAUUCAGUGAAUCAUCGAAUCUUUGAACGCACAUUGCGCCCGCCAGUAUUCUGGCGGGCAUGCCUGUUCGAGCGUCAUUUCAACCAUCAAGCCCCGGGCUUGUGUUGGGGACCUGCGGCUGCCGCAGGCCCUGAAAUGCAGUGGCGGGCUCGCUGUCACUCCGAGCGUAGUAGUUACAUCUCGCUCUGGGCGUGCUGCGGGUUCCGGCCGUUAAAAGCCUUAUUUACCCAAGGUUGACCUCGGAUCAGGUAGGAAGACCCGCUGAACUUAAGCAUAUCAAUAGCGGAGGA
rnacentral:misc_RNA from 1 species